rnacentral:rRNA from 1 species
UACGUAGGGGGCUAGCGUUAUCCGGAAUUACUGGGCGUAAAGGGUGCGUAGGUGGUUUCUUAAGUCAGAGGUGAAAGGCUACGGCUCAACCGUAGUAAGCCUUUGAAACUGGGGAACUUGAGUGCAGGAGAGGAGAGUGGAAUUCCUAGUGUAGCGGUGAAAUGCGUAGAUAUUAGGAGGAACACCAGUUGCGGAGGCGGCUCUCUGGACUGUAACUAACACUGAGGCACGAAAGCGUGGGGAGCAAACAGG